rnacentral:misc_RNA from 1 species
GAUGAAGAACGUAGCGAAAUGCGAUAAGUAAUGUGAAUUGCAGAAUUCAGUGAAUCAUCGAAUCUUUGAACGCACAUUGCGCCCGCCAGUAUUCUGGCGGGCAUGCCUGUUCGAGCGUCAUUUCAACCAUCAAGCCCCCGGCUUGUGUUGGGGACCUGCGGCUGCCGCAGGCCCUGAAAACCAGUGGCGGGCUCGCUAGUCACUCCGAGCGUAGUAAUACAUCUCGCUCAGGGCGUGCUGCGGGUUACGGCCGUUUAAAAGCCUUAUUUACCCAAGGUUGACCUCGGAUCAGGUAGGAAGACCCGCUGAACUUAAGCAUAUCAAUAAGCGGAGGA